AAUCAAAGCGACCAGUGAAUAGGAAAUUACGACUUUGAAGAACUUAAAAGAUGAAAUCAUUGCCAAGUUGAUAUGUGAAGAAACAGGCCUUAUUUUUUUUCAUUAUCUGAGCAGUUGAACAUGGAAGACCUCAAAAUCUAUGAGGCAGCAGGUUGUAAUGAUGUUGCCUUUGUUAAGGAGGCCCUGGAAGGAAAGUUUGGGGAACAGCUGAAAGAUGACCUUGAACUUGCCCUGCAUAUGGCGGCCACCAAUGGUCAUUUAGACUGUUUAACUCUCUUGUUGGAACAUAAAGUGAGUGUCCAUGCAAGGAAUGGGUCUGAAGAGACAGCACUGAUGCUAGCUGCCCAAGGUGAUCAUGUGACUUUAGUUAGUAAACUGCUGGAACGAGGAGCUAAUGUUCAUGAUCAGAACUGUAUGGGUUAUACAGCUCUUAUGAAAGCGUGUGAGUUUGGCCAUAUCAGAACUGUAGAACUCUUGCUGAAACAUGGUGCUAGUGUAAGUCCGGUAGAGCAUGGAGGAGAUGAACACCAUGGAAUACCAAAUGGACUGCCAAAUGGCUCAGCAAAAAACUUACUACCCAAAUAUAUGCCUCAUGGUUAUACAGCUUUAAUGAUCCUGGUGCUGAAACAACCAGAUAACUUUAAAAAGAUUAUGAAGCUUUUGCUCGAAGCUAAUAUGCCGGUGAAUGAAAUGGAUUUGGAAAAUACAACAGUUUUGUUGCAUGCAGCAACCAAAUGUACUGCUGAUGUUAUUGAGAUGUUACUUGAAGCAGGGGCAGAGGUAAAUACUACAGAUGUGUGGGGUGUUACUCCGGUAAUGAGUGCAGCAGGGUAUAAUAAGACUGAUAAUGUGAAAGUACUUCUCAGGUAUGGAGCUGAUGUCUCCAUUUCAUGUAAAGCAAAGCGGACGGUUCUUUCUGUUGCUGCAAGAACUGGAUCUGAAGAAUUGAUCAACAUAAUUUUAGAGGCAGGGGCUGACCCAGAACACAAAGAUGCACAUGGUCGCACACCAUUGUUCAUUGCAAUAAUGCACUACAACUACGCAGGGAUAAAAUGUCUAAUCAGAGCAGGUUGUGAUUUGACAGUGUCUUGUCGAGACAUGACAACCUUCCAAGUAAUGAGCUACUUCGAGUGUGCACUGUCCCGCAAAAGUGUACAUAUGAUUGAUAUGUUGUUUAAAGCAGGUGCUUGUUCAAAUAAAGAUAUCUUUGAGGUUUCUACUGAUGAAAAAUUUAAAGAGCAGUGUGCUGACAAACCAGAAAUAUUCAUUUUAUUGAACAAGAUGUUAUCUACACCGAAAUGUCUACGCUAUAUUUGUAGAAAGGGUAUACGGGACUGCAUAGUAAAACCACUGCCAAGGAGUGUCUCCUUCCUUAGUCUUCCAAAAUCUUUGAAAGAUUAUCUGCUGUACUCGGAUAUUAUUUUACCAGUAGAAGAAAUUUGAUUUGUUUUAUUGAAAAAGUUUAUGUGCAUUAGGAACUAUAAUUACUGAAAAUACUCAGUUAUAGGCCUAUGCUCAGUUAUAGAUCUAUACUCAGUGUUAGGUCUGUACUCGGUCAUAGGUCUAUGCUCAGUUAUAGGUCUGUACUCAGGUGUUAGGUCUGUUACUCAGUUAUAGGUCUAUGCUCCGUUAUAGUUCUGUACUCAGUGUUAGGUCUGUACUCAGUUAUAGGUCUAUGCUCAGUUAUAGGUCUGUACUUGGUGUUAGGUCUGUACUCAGUUAUAGGUCUAUACUCGGUAUUAGGUCUGUACUCAGUUAUAGAUCUGUACUCAGUGUUAGGUCUGUACUCAGUGUUAGGUCUGUACUCAGUUAUAGGUCUAUACUCAGUGUUAGGUCUGUACUCAGUUAUAGGUCUAUGCUCAGUUAUAGGUCUAUACUCAGUGUUAGGUCUGUACUCCGUUAUUGGUCUAUACUCAGUUACAAAACUAUAUUCUCAGUUACAGGUCUAUUUUUGCUUUAUUAUGAAAAACACUAUUGAAAUAUUUACCCUAGAUUUAUAACUUGGCAAGUACACUAAAUGGGCAUGCCUGAAGAUGUAAUAAUAGAUAGCAAACUGUGUAAGAUGUAAGAUGUCAUAAAUUGGUAUUUUUAUGUCCCCUUUGUUGAAGAGUUGGGAGGUGUGUAUAGUUUGAACUGUCUGUCCAUCACACUUUCUCUCUAUGUACCCCAACUCCUAUAGUUUUCAGUCCAGCUCAAAUGAAACCUGGUAUACAUCAUCAGCAUGAAUUCGACGUGCAUAUAUUAUUUUUGGACCUUUCAUGUUUCUUGAGUUAUGCCUCUUUCAGGGCCUAACAAUGUUACAUCAACAUUUGUACCUUGUGUGUUCAACUGUAUACAUCAUCAGCAUCGAGAGGAUAUGCGUAUAUUAUUGGAUCAUAUAUGUCCAAUUACUUUUGUUUUUGAGUAAGCCCAUUUUUAGCUCGACUAUUCGAAGAAUAAGUAGAGCUAUCCUACUCACUACAGAGUCGGCAUCACACCUUGGUUAAGUUUUUCGUACCAGUCCCACUUUUUG
rnacentral:misc_RNA from 1 species